rnacentral:lncRNA from 1 species
AGCGGCGGGGCGAAGGGCUCCUCAAGCGCGGCCAGAGUGGACGCCGAGGCCGAGGAGGCACGGAGAGCGAGCAAGGGCUGCCUGCACGCUGUCACCUCUCAUUAAGGUUUUGGUAUGAAGAUGAUGCUGGUCUCAUAGAUGAUGAUGCUGGUCUCAUAGAAUGAGAUGGAGAGGAGUCCCUAUUCUUCAAUUUUUUGGAAUAGUUUCAGUAGGAUUUGUACCAGCUAUUCUUUCAAUAUCUACUAGAAUUCGGCUGUGAAUCCAUCUAGUCCUUGGCAUUUUUGUUUGACUCCCCGUGGAACAGAGUUGUUGUUCAGCAGAAAUAAUCAAGAGUUGACAUCAUACCAGGUAAAAAAUAGAAGCGGUAAUUUUGAAGGUGCUGUCAGAAGAGUUAUUGAAGUGGUCAUGAACUCUAAAGUUACAGAGGCAAUUAUGUAAAGAUAAAAGAUAAAGACCUCGGGACUCAACAAUAAACCAGACCAGUAUGGCUCUAUCUUCAUGAAGAACAUACACAAUAAUUCAGGACUCACAGAAGUCGAUGAGCAGAACACAGAAGACUCAACCUGAAGAAAUUCCAUAUACGUGCUACUCCUGUAGGCACAAGCAAGAAAAAAUAUUCAAGGAUAAGAGUUUCAUGAGAGUAGAAGUCUUAAUCCAUGAACCUGGAAAAAGAUAUUCACAUCAAGGAUGGCACCCUUCUCCUGGGAGAAACCUCCCUGGGUAAUACUGAUCUCAUAUUGUGAAUUGUUUGAGAUUUGAAGAAUGGAUUAAAGAGAAAAUGAUUGUGCCCGUAGACCAAUGAAGAGACUGUUGCAAUAACUCAGUGCAACUGCCACCAAAAUGUAAAAUUUUCAUAAAAAUCCUUACAGGGAAGACCUGUAAGGUUGAACCCUCCAAUACAAUAGAAAAUGUAAAGGCCAAGAUCUAGCAUGAGGAAGGAAUUCCUCCUGAUCAGCCAAGACCGAUCUUUACUGGUAAGCAACUGGAAGAUGGGGGCACUUUGACUAGGACAUUAAAAAUAAGUCCGCUCUUCAUCUUGUGCUGAGACUUCCUGGUGGUGCCGAGAAAAGGAAGAAGCCUUGUACCACUUCCAAGUAGAAUAAGCAUAAGAGAAAGGUUAGGCUGGCUCUCCUGAAAUAGUAUAAGGUAGAUAAGAAUGGCAAAAUUAAUCACCUUCAAUGCCCUUCAGAUGAAUGCAGUACUGAAGUUUUCAUGGCCAUUCACUUUAAUAGACAUUAUUGUGGCAAAUGUGGCCUGACUUACUGCUUCAGCAAACCAGAAGACAAGUAA